UACGAAGGGGCUAGCGUUGUUCGGAAUCACUGGGCGUAAAGCGCACGUAGGCGGAUUGUUAAGUCGGGGUGAAAUCCUGAGGCUCAACCUCAGAACUGCCUUCGAUACGGGCAGACUAGAAUUCGGCAGGGAGACUGGAAUUCCGUGGUGUAGCGGUGAAAUGCGCAGAUAUCAGGAGGAACACCGGUGGCGAAGGCGGGUCUCUGGGCCGAUGAUUGACGCUGAGGAGCGAAAGCGUGGGAGCAACAGG
rnacentral:rRNA from 1 species